rnacentral:miRNA from 1 species
AUGGAGCUGGAACCAGAUCAGGC